rnacentral:pre_miRNA from 1 species
UAAGUACUCCCUCCGUUCGGAAAUACUUGUCGGAGAAAUGGAUGUAUCUAGAACUAAAAUACGUCUAGAUACAUCCAUUUCUUCGACGAGUAUUUCCGAACGGAGGGAGUAGCUU